GCAGGCCGAAUUACACUCCUAGCCCCUGCCCCGCCCAGGCGGGGGGUGUCUGCCUGGUGAGCAGCGCCAGGGGAGUGUAAACAAACAACACAGGCUAGCCUGGGUUCUGGAAACCUUUCUAAAGAAUCGCUUGUGUUUUGUUUGAAGGCUCAACCACAGGAAUUAUCUCUUGGAAUCUCCGCAUAGGUUCAGUGUUGCUGACCUCCAACAGAUCGCAGACGGGGUGUAUGAAGGAUUCCUCAAGGCCCUGAUUGAAUUUGCCUCCCAGCAUGUCUACCACUGCGACCUGUGCACCCAGCGCGGCUUCAUCUGCCAGAUCUGCCAGCACCACG
rnacentral:lncRNA from 10 species